CCAGCGCUCGGGAGAUAUGCUCACAAUCAUUCUUCCGGGUGAGAAACGAGAUAAACGAGAAUAUUGAAGUGAUGAACCAGAUGAUUGGUCCCUAUUCCAGAUCUAUCCGAACGCUUGACAACGUUGUGAAUUAUUAAUUACCUCAUCUAUAUCCAAUCUGUCAAUUAGGGUUACCUAGUACUACUAGGGACAACCCCAAUAAGGGAUAGUAAGGAGAUACAUUGUGCCACAACACUAACUAAGGCACUGUUUGGGAGGCAACCCGAAAACCUUUUUAUUACAUUUUGUCUGUUUAAAAAUAAUGGUGUGUUUGUUGUGCAGGCUAAAAUGUGGCAAGUGUGAGGAACAAAGGAGUUUAGUAAAGAAACAAGUUAUAGUCGGUUUAUCACUGAAGAUGUCAGCGACCCCGAUAUAGACCACCAUUGGACUCAAGACAUGAUUAAGCUAGAGUCUGUAAUACUCGGUAUUUAAAGUUGGAGAUAGUGGUAUGGACAUAAUCGAGAAAAAAGGAAUGAAGGUUUUUAAAAGAUCGAAGAAGUGAAGGCCUGAGAAUUUGACGGACACCAUCAACAAUUUUUGAAAGGGUCAUAUCCUCGCCUAAUUACUAGUGAUCUAAGACAUGAAGGAAAUGAUCAAAUCUGUAUUGAAGAGGAGCAGUCAGUGUAACAAUGAAAAGCUCCUAAAAAAUACUAUGUCUCCCAAUGAUCUAAAACGCAAAAAUGCUUAAGACUAACGCAGGAUGGCGAUGACUAUACCAAAGGGAGGACUGUGGAAUUUAUCGGCGAUCCUAACUAACUGAGUGUUCCUUCACAACAGAGCCUAACUAACUGAGUGUUCCUUCACAACAGAGUAUUUGAAAACUAUAAAUACUUGGUAAUAUUGGUAUCUUAGAAUCGAAUUUUGUAGUUUUGAAGAGUAAUUUCAAACUUACCUUCUAUUUUCAAAGAUUUUGGGAGACUUUGAUCUUGAACCUUGGAGAUUUGAAGAUUCCCAACUUGAAGAAAUUCAAAGUGGGUGUUGGAAAUUCUUCAUUGUAGACUUAAUUGAAGUGAAUAUAAAAUUACAUCUAGUUGAUGUUA